rnacentral:rRNA from 1 species
GAGUUUGAUCCUGGCUCAGGACAAACGCUGGCGGCGUGCAUAACACAUGCAAGUCGAACGAAAUCUACAUGAUUUAGUGGCGAACGGGUGAGUAACACGUGAGAAACCUGCCUUACACAGAGGGAUAGCCGUUGGAAACGACGAUUAAUACCUCAUGACACCGUGACAUCGCAUGAUGAUGCGGUCAAAGAUUUAUCGGUGUAAGAUGGUCUCGCGCCUGAUUAGCUGGUUGGUGGGGUAACGGCCUACCAAGGCGACGAUCAGUAGCCGAUCUGAGAGGGUGGACGGCCACAUUGGGACUGAGACACGGCCCAAACUCCUACGGGAGGCAGCAGUGGGGAAUUUUGCACAAUGGGGGAAACCCUGAUGCAGCGACGCCGCGUGAACGAAGAAGGCCUUCGGGUUGUAAAGUUCUGUCCCUUGGUGAAGAUAAUGACCGUACCCAGAGAAGCC